rnacentral:rRNA from 1 species
GUGCAGCAGUCGAGAAACCUUCGCAAUGCAGGGAAACUGCGACGAGGGAACUCCAAGUGCCUACGCUCAGCGUAGGCUGUUCUCAAGCCUAGAAAGCUUGAGAAGUAAGGGCUGGGUAAGACGGGUGCCAUCUGGUGGUAGCAGUCAAUAGAUUCGAUUUGUUACUGCAAGGCAUAAGCCGCCGCGGUAAUACCCCGCAGCCCAAGUGGUGGCCGCUUUUA